GACCGCAGUGGCUUCCAGCGUGGAGACGACAUGGCACCAGCAGCGCAGCCGCCCUACGGAGGACGCGGCCGUGGUGGUGGAGCAGCUGCUGCUGCAGGUCUUCCUUCUGGAGGCUUCGGUGCUGAUGAGGAAGAGACGGCAAGAAGAGUUGGUGUUCCUCCAGCUGGAGACCUCUUCACUGGCAGGCUGGGAGGACGUUCUAGAUGGGGAUCUCGCCCUCUGCAGCCAGACAUGGAAGAAUAUCUGCCGAACAAACGAGCCCGCUUCUAACGAGGAUAACAUACAUACAAAACUCGUGGAUCUUGUUCCUGACUGACCAGAAAAUUCCCGUGACAUGCAGGACUUUGUAUAUUCAUUUUUGCGAAGUUCAUGGAAACUUAAUGAAAAUAUGAGUUUAUGUUCACGGCGUUGUGUGUUCGUACCGAUGGUUGCGUUGCUGCAGCUGCUUCUCGUGAAGCUUUAAAAUAAUGAGUAGCUGCUUCCAUCCGUAAUUGAUACUUACGCCUGCCGAUUUACUGCUAAAUUCAAUACAGUGCAAAUGUGGGAAGUCACAAGUCUCUAUCUUGCAUCAAGUAGCUAUUAGUUUCAACUUAUGGUGAAGUGUUGAACGUCGUCGUAUUAAUGGCAAGCAGCUUGCUUUUAUUGCAAAUAAAUAUAUUUUCGCGUUCGUAUAUUUGGCAACAAAUGGCUACUACCUCCUAGCAUGCACUCAAAACUUUCAGUAUAAUACUUGAUUGAGAAACGUUUGUCGAAACACUAGAAUUGUAUCAUCACUCUUUUGACCUAAACAAUAAUAUGCUAUUUUUGGAUCCAAGUUGAAUGCGGUAAAACAAUAAAAUAUUAUUAGAUUCUUCAUGAAAUAAUGUAAUUUUCGACUCGCCUACGCCUAGCAAAAUGUAGCUUCAUCUUAAUUUUGACUGGCGGUAGUUUCAGCUAAAUAUUGUACAUUGUUUUCUUUGACAGCCAUACCUGAGCCAUCGGCUUCCCUUCGUUGAGUGACAACUGUUUCUUGUGGUUAUUUGGUUACGUAUUUUGUCGCUAAGGAUAUGCACACAAAAUUGUUUAUGAUUUCAACACAUAGAAGAAAGAUGAGGCUCCCUAAGGUAUUAAGUGUAACCGCUCUAAGAAACCUAUUGAUGUAUUUUCUUAUGAUAGCUCUAGUAAAGACUAAUAAAGUCACGUAUCUCUUGUCAUUACAUCUCUAAGCUGUGCUUAUGAAGGCACAUUGAGCCAGAAUGAGUUGUACUUUCCCAUUACUGUAUUAGCAGGCCGGGCCAUUGCGAUCACAACUUGCUCAACUGCGGUGAAUUUCUGACAGUUGACUUCAAUUACAGUUCUGCCUAUUCUGAAUUAGCGUCGUGACAUUCAUAUGUUCUAAACUGAGUUAUCACUUUCGAAUACUAGCAUGAAAGUAGUUUGAGUAGUGUGAGAUUGCUAAGUAUGAACUUUAUAUUGCUCAGUUGGGGCAAUUCAAAAGCAAACCGCAUUAUCGAAUAUUUAUAACAAAUUCGUACAGUUUCUAAUGAGAGCAAACGAGAAAUCAUGGUCCAUGCAUGCUAGCAUCUGCAACUGGAAGCCUCAAGUACUUGGAUGAUUCUUUUGCAUUUCUACUUGAAGACGUUCUUGAAUAGUUGAAUAUUCAUCAUUUAUUCAUGUCCUAGAAUUAAGCUACUUGAUUCUAAUGAAGAAAAUCCUUGAUAUUAAAUUUUAAAACCGAAAAGUUCAUGAAUUUUUCUGCCAUUUGACAUAAGUGUACUUAGAUUUGUCUGUUUCCCUCUAGCUUCUCCAGGAACUGCCCAGCUUAUUACCAGCAACACAGCGCAUAUUGAACUUACGUACUACUGCCACUUGCUUCAUAAUUCAUUAAUGUAACUCAGUCUGAGCUACUUGAAUUAUAUGGAAUCAAAAGCUCUUGUAACGAACAUACAGACUAAAGGAAAGAAAACAUUGCUUUCUACUCAUAUGUGCCUGUAACUUUAACACUGCGCGAUAAAUUCACAAUGCGGUCAAUGAUAUUAAAUUUGUAAUUAAGACCUUAAUGUGUCUCUGGACUGCUACAGCACCUUUGUUUAGUGGAAGUCGUAAAAAAUAAUCCUACCGAAAAGUUGAGAUUGUCGGUGUGAAUUACUUAUGACGUUGACGGUAAUCUUUCUCGCGUGUCACGCAAGACUACAUUCGUAUUUGAAAGCAUAUCAUUCUUCUAUAUGAUAUGAAAGCAUAUCCUUCUAUCCUUAUAUGAUGCUUCUUAGAGCUGCUUUUAGAAUUCAAGUUGUCCGUUUCCUAUCGUGGCAUAGGAACUAAUGAACUGAAAAUGAUUUGGUAUAAACUUGGUUCAUUCUUGGAUAAUAGUUUAUCAAUAUGCAUCAGCUGUUUGAAUAUUGAUACGCACUUGUGAAUGGCACGGCGUUCUUAGUGCUGUUCUACGCUUCCUGUGUUUGGUUGCUGUGACCUCAGACCAUCAUGAAACCUGCACGCUAGAAGCGUGCGUGUAUAAAGUAUUCAGCUAAUCAACUUAUCACGGAGCAAGGGAACCAAGUUGAAGGCAGUGAAACAGAAGGUCUAACUUUCCUUCCUGUACAUCGAAAAUAUCAUGGGAACGAUCCACUCUACUGCUGCUGUCUUAUUUCUUUCUCUUCGCCGGAAACAAGUCUACUUUUCUGUGAAAUAAUGCAAAUUAUAUGCGUACAAUAAUUGAAAUUAUCUUACGAUUACUUACAAAAUAAUAUUGAUUUUUAUCGAUACAGUUUCAUAUGCAGUUAUUCCUAGAAGUCUUUUAUUUUCUGAUGGUUUUUCACGUCUGAGUAUAAGUUUGGUAAUUUCGAUGCUAGCUCGCUCAAAAAGUUCAAAAUAUACUUUAAUAUCUUUGUUUUGCUUUACGUCGUGAUUUGAAAUACACUGAAACUUUUGCUUUGGCCCGAAAGCCUGAAUGACAUUCCUGAAGCAUCUAGUUUUUAUGUAGACAUGAAAAGUUGAUGACGAAUAAUGCUAAUUACGUUUCAUAGAUUACACGAUGCAUAUUUGAGAUCAUUACACGUUAAAGCCAUUGCAUGAAUAAGUAUUGUAGGCUGGAUAAGUCAUAUUCCGAGCCCAAGUAUUAUCGAGUACUUAGCUUUCCAACUGUAUGGCGACAAAGUUAGUCAUUCUGUCGACUCCCUAGGCAGCAUUACCGUUUUGUACAUCUGCUUAACAAUGGUGAGAGAAUAUACGUCUUGUUCAAUGAAAUUUGUACAGUCAAUAUUGGAUCCAAGACACUAUACUGAAUAACGACUCUAUGGAAGUCCAAUAUAUACGUAACUAUAAAUCACUCCUCACAUGAACUUACGAUCAUCGCAAGUCUUAAGAUGAUCGCAUGUCCAUGUUCUAUGUUUGACAUUAGACUAUCAGUUCAAACACCUGAUCAGCUGACUUAACUUUGAAAACAAGCAAUUAUUGCAAAGUCUCCUGUCCGGUUACAUUGGAAUUGAAUGGUAGCUUUGGCAUGCUUGCAGUGUUGGAUCAAACAUCACAGUUGUUUAAAUAAACAAUAAUCUUUAUUUCGGAUUUCGUAUUAAAUUCACUUCAUAGUACUCGUAAAAAAUAGGUUAACUAUUUUGACCUGGUUUUUAAUUUUGAAUGGUGUUGGUUAGUGUAGUUCCAUCAUGAAUGAAUCCUUUACUGUUGUUGAUGUAGCUUAUUAACGCGAGAAAUUUCCUCCCGAACUCCUCAUUUAUCGCAGGCAGUAACCAUAAUUGUUUGGGCCAGUCUAGUCGAAUUUCAGGUCAGUUGACCAGGGCAUUCAGGUAAGCUUUCUUGUUCAUUUGCUUUUGCUGAAAAUACGCUUCGUCUUUGACACAGAACCUUGCAUUUUUCUUUGACAAUCUAAAAACACGUUUUUAUAUUUGACUUUAAUGUUCGGGACUUUAAACUUGGCGGUGCACAUUCGACCUUAAUUAUAUAGCAUGGAUUCUGCAAUUCGUUCCGAAAGCUUAUGUUCUUUAAUGAAUCACGCAUUGAGAGGACAUCCAAUAUGAAAGGCACGGAAUUGAACUUUUUAAAGUGAAAGCGAUUCUCAAAUUCUUAUGAAACUCGUAUCUAAAAAUGACUACCAAAUCUUCUAUUAUUAAUUGUGCAUCUUGUGAUCGAAUUUCAUAGGGACAUUCAAAUUCUAUCUCUCUUGACUAAUAUUAAAGCCUGGGUUCUAAUUUGGUGACUUGGUACUGUAAACCCUUUCUAAUCGUCACUUCUACCCUUUAUUCAAAUAAUUUCUCUUGUGAUUAGUGGUAAUCAAAUGUGUUUAAGUGGUUGCGGUAGUGACGACAGAACAGUUCGUAUUAAUAACAACAAUUUUGAGUAGAUUUUCUCGAACACUUAUAAAAAUUUUAUGUGCCAGUCGUAAAUUCAUGAAUUAAGCCUCGAACUCCCACAACACCGUGAAAGUUCUUUAACCCGAGACCCGGCUCAGGUUAGUAAAUAUAUUGUCUUCAGAUUUGACGAGACCUCGAGUCGCCUUGUACAAUGGGAAACAUUGAGGUGAGUAAUGUUCAUGCCACCAAAGUUUUAUUCUUGAGUAGAAACUUCAGCGAAUUUCAAAAGCCUGUGUACAUUUCGUCGAAAAAAGUCUGUAUACUUUUUAAGCCUCAGUUUCGACGCAUAAUGAUGCUGUCAAGACGACUCAAAAUUUGAUUUGAUAUAAAAAUUUUUCAAAAUUUCAGGUCCAAUUAUUUUUUAGUCAAUAGGAAGCUCUUCCUUGUAUUUAAUGCUAUCAAAUAGUUGCAAAAAUUUGUCUAUAAACCAAGUUACUCAUAAAUUUGUGUCUGAAGACAUCUGAUAUAAGGGAAUGAUUGUUAGAGACAUUAAGUUAGUUACAAAAAAAAAAAUGUCUCCAAAGGCAUCGCGGUGGCAGAAAUUAAUAUGCAAAGUCAUCAAAAUUGUGUACAAAUGCAUCGCAGUUGCAGAAAUUUCUGUCUGAAGGAAUCAGAGAUUCUCACAGUUCUUUUUUCUGAAUGAACUCAGCUGGUAUCAUGCUUUUUUGCUAGCUGGUGCGGAAGCCCUACUGACUAAAUUCUAAUUUAAAUUAAAAAUUCAAUUUCUCUGAGUUGUGAAAAAGCGUAACAUUCGACGUUAGAAACGGAAUUGUUAGCAGGUUUUUCUGUGGUUUCAGCCUCGAAGGUGGAAGUGGAGUUCGAUUCAUCAAUUGAAAAAAAAACUCGAUGGGGGCUCGCCAAUGUCGUUCUUGAUUUGUUGUCUACAAUUAAUCUUCCCUUGGUUUUGAAAAUAACCUUCACAUAGCUCAACCUGUGUUAUUUUAACCGGGUUCCUUAAUUGAAGUUUUCUUUAACUUAGACAAAUAGCCUGGCAAGAACACCGCCAGUUUUGGAACCGCGGUUCUUAGUUCAACUCAAAAAUACAAUAAUAAAAAUGAAAAGUACUAUUGCAGAAGGUUGCACUCGCAAUGUUACAAUCUAACAAUAUUUUUAUGUAACAACAUUUUUAAUGUUUUAUUUCAUUUACCUAAGCUUCUAGAAGUGAGCGUUUAAUGAUAAUAGACUCUUACGUACCAAUCAAAUUGAUAAGUUGAUGUUUUAAAUGGAUUGUGAAUUUAGAUCUAGUAAUUGCUCUAUGAUACCACAGAAAAUGAGAAAUUUUGAUUGGUCCUCUUUGAAGCCUGAACUUGAAUUUUUCUUCAGCUAGUCUGCUUUUGCAGUGCAAAUUGAGGAGCUAUCCACUUGACCAUUAUUUUAUAAACUAAUUCAAUAAUGUACAAAUGUUCUUAUAUGAUCGAGUCAACCUUCUUAAAGACGGAAAUUGUUACUUGAAAUAAAAAGUUCAGAAGUCCUGCAAUCUGUAAACAUUGAGAGAUCUGCUUGCUCUUCAUAAUAAGAAAGUCAAUACAUUUCUGUGUUCUUAGCAUCGCUUAUAGGCCCUGAGAAAUUUCAGUGGCAGCCUGUACCGUGUUCAACGAGUGCACGCAAUAAUGAAAUGAACAUUUUCCUUGGAAGGCCGUGCGAUUGCUAUUCAAUUUCUCCUAAGGAACCAUGACACAUGAAAUACUUAUACAAGCCAAUGUUAAUUCAUCCGUGAUAAAUAUAAUAAUAAUCCCGAGUAAUGAACCAGCACUCCAAAGUUAUUUUCCCGUUAAUAAACAGUACCAACUGAAGCGGUUGCAAUAUUCCCUGCACUAAUAAGCCAGCUAAAUUAUCUUAGGAUGCUUGGUAUGCUUGCAGCUUACUCGUUGACUUACAUUGAUCAUUUGAUUCAACAGGAAAUAAGAGGACUUGAAACAAUUCAUCUCACCUUCAGUGAUGAUGGGAACUUUAGUUGACUACCAAACGCUGGCGAGAAAAACGGUGUACAAAAUAAUAACUUCAAAUAACAUCUUGUCUCGAAUACUUUUUUGUCUUCUUGUGUUUCGUUCUCAUUACUUUUCACCCUAUGUUAACCUUACCUUCUGGGCGUUUUUGUGUUACCUCUCCUUUGUUCGAGUGCUUAGCAGUGGUCCUAUACGCGAGGAUGUUCCAAAUAGUUUCGAGUAUAGAAUGCAAUAGAAACCUGACACAGCCUAAAAAAUUAAUACAGGUUUCGUGUUGUGGUCCUUGUUCAACUACCCUCUGGAAAAAGUAAAUUUCGACUGCUUCAACAAAGAUCCCUAUUAUAAGAGAAGAAUCCUAAACAUAGAAAUUGUCAUCUCGUAGAAACUUACUUUCUCACAGUUGAGAGUGAUGACAUUUCUUUGUUGAUUUGUAUCUAUUGGCUAUCGACUAACUUGAGUAAACAUACCUUGAAACUAACUCUUGACUAAUAUCUAUUACUAGAAACACACGCUCUUUAAGUAUUGAAAAAUGCAUCUUUCUGUAGUUAUUAAGAUGAUUGAUUAUACACUUGGGUAAUAGAUUAACGGUUCAUUUCUUGAGGUUGCUUGCUGUCCCUGGGAGUAGUUGCAUGCCUUAUACUAACCUACUGUAUAUACUCGUAGUUAGGUGUUUCAGUACACAACUAAUAAUAACCACUCUCUGAGGCUAGCGACAGCUUCUUUGUUCUUUAUCACUCGAGUUAAUUUAUUUUGCUUCUCUCACCUAUGCUAAUAAAAUAUAUAACAUAUUUAGUAUCGUAGCGGCUCAACUCGGCAGAAGAAUAUACCAGCGACUGAACAUGUGCUUUGUGGGGGAGGCUAUAACAAAGCAUAUUCAACAUGAUGUAUGUAACGUGAAGCUAUAACAAACGAGUCGGCCAAUCUAGUCCUCUUGCUCACAUUUAUAGUACAAGAAUCUGAUGCUUUGAUUUGUUAUUUCUGUUAGCUACAGAAAAACUUUUAGAAUUAUUUCUAGAAUCAUUGUUCGAUACGAAAGUUAUCUAAGCUUAAUUUAAAUUUCAGCACUGUAAACAGCCUCCGGAUGAGCGAAAAAGCAAUUUAUUAUCAAUAAUCACCUGCUGAUGGCUUAUUCAGACUAACCUGUCUUGUCAGCCUCGAAGGUGGGCAACAUGCCAGUUGUAAACAUGGUUGUCAUAUUACAACCUGCCGGUUUUGUGCCGUCUAAAAAGUUAUUGAUCAUCGCUAAACAUAAGACUCGUAUUGGGGUGGCACUGUGGCAAUAAAGAUCUCCUUGAUCAGCAACAACAGAUUUUUAUUCGAACAAAUCGCGGCACAACAAACACCGUUCCUACCAUCUCAUGCUCUCGAUCUAUCCAAUCACGAAAUUUUGUUCAUUUGUAACAUCAUCCGCAGCAUGACUUCAGAUUCAAUUGAGAAAAUUUAAAUACAUUUGGAAUCUUGACUGCAGUUGCGAUGCCUUUCACGUUUGAAAAUCGUCCUCAACUCGACCAUCAAGCCUCGAUUGAAUUCAUAAUUAAAUAUUGUUUUGUUUGUUUCACGAGCCUAAACGCGUAGACUGUUCUCAUCUUAUCGUUGUCAUACUCAUUUGAAUUAACGCUUGUCAUAUCUGCCUCAACUAAUAACGUUAUUUACUGUGCGUGAGCAAAACGCUCCAGCACCUGUGAUGCUAACCCCUUCAGCAAAAGCACCACAAAUCAUGCUAGCCCGAUCCUCAAGUUUCUGGUCAGAUUCCUCUUGUUCCCUAACACUUUCGUUUUACAUUCCCGCCUUACCUUACCUUACAGUACACCACUCUACGUUGACCUCACACAACCACCUGCAUUGAGCAGUUAGAAUUUUCCCGACAUUUCCCCUCAGCAUCGAAGAAUAUCUUACAUUGAACAUUGCAAAUACAAUCACUCGCCCGAUCCAAGGACCUACUUCAUCUCGCCCGUUCUAGCACACGCGCACAGUAAUGCCAGUAGUAAACGUGAAGUACCGACCUGCACGUACAUCACACACACUGUACUGUACUGCUGUGUACACACAACAGCACACAUGUAGUACUUCACUCAACACACACACACUGUACUGCUGUGUACACACAACAGCACACACACACACACACACACACACCAGUUGCUGGUGCCGCGUCUUCUGCAAGGGAAGAAUUGUACACAUGCGCCCGACGCUCCGCCGUCUACCUUGCCCCUCGCACUCUCCGACCGCCGCAAUCUGGCCUUACGCCGAUGGCAGGCUAUCCUCGCAUGCACAAGCGCCCCCUGGAGCCGCCCCUGAUGCGCCCCCUGCUGGGGGGCUACUACUAGUCCAGUCUCACCGCAUCUCCCCUUCCCUUCACUCUUCCUUCCCCUCAGUGGCAAAGGUCGCAUAAACAACGGCCGGUACGUCCGCUAGCUCAGCUUUGUGAGAGGACAGAAGACUCUGGGCAACUGAUCCGUCUUUCACUGCCGCUACCGUCACCUCAACAUCACCCAACAACAUCGUUUAUUUCCCAGGCAUGGGGCUGACGAAAUACAUGCUUAGUUUUUUCCGAGAUUGCAUUUCAUCAAGAAAAUUAGGGAGCUACUAGAAAUAUGUAUUUAUUCUGAAUCGGGUGUCAAGUUGGUAAUUGAUAGUCUAUGCAAAGGAAUUAGUCAAUAUCUACAUGUUGUCUAUUCAUAAUUUUUCGCUGGGAAAAAUCUGUUGCUAUUGGGAAAAUUCGAGUUCUGGAUGUAUGAAAAAUUGUGGGUAAAUUUAGCUAUCGCCAAUUCUGAAAUUCUAGUCCGGUUGUGAGAUGUCGUGGUGGUUCUUGCAGUGAAACAUGAGAUAUUGGUGUGUGAAGUGGACCGCGACAUGCGCCGUUGGGUUGUCAAGUCUUUACCGCCUGUCCAGACAGAAUUGUUUUCUCGUUACAAUGCUAUUCGCUACCUGAAAUGCAAAGGAAUUAGGUGGUAAGGGGUUGAAGAAGUGCAGCGCAGCUCUGACAACACAUCCUCUCACUAUGUUACAAUUAGUGCUGUGAUAGUUUUAUCGACUUACUCUGGAGCUUUUCUCCUCUGACCAACCCUGCUCUCUUUCGCGUGUAACACUCCGAGCGAGGUCGCUCGUUAAUACCAAGCUUCAUUAGUUCUCAUCUCCCAAUGUGAGAUUUUUAUGAUUGAGAUACUCAAGUGUAGAUGAAACAAUCCGUUAAAAUUCUUCGCUUUUCGUAAUCAAAUGUAAGGAGAUUGCGUUAUUGACGCAGCCGUAGCCUAACGUCUCUUAGUACGAAUAGAAUUUGCCAAUUUUUUCACCAUAGAUGGUCAAGUAGCCCCAUUGCAUUAACACUUUCAUCCUCCUGUUUAUCGUACAACGAAGCUGCCCGAAAUGUUUCUGCAUCAAAGACGUAAUUUCGCUCGUAAUUCACCACCGCUAUAAGUCGAACUACUGAGAUUUUUCUGCUGCCGAGGCUAGCCAGCUGAGAAAACUUUACACCACUGCUUCUUAUGUCACUGACGAGCCAUCGUUCGUGUAACUUUUGUCCUUGACUGUAGCUGAACACUUGAUUCCCUUGCCUACACAUGCCUUUACCAGCGCUUGUCCCUUGAUACCCAUCCUGUGCACAAGGAGAUACCAAACGAAUCAUUUGGUCUGUAUUACCUACCGUCUGCAAUAUUUCCCGUUUAGGCCAGAUGGAUGUCGGCUGCAUAUGCAGUUUUUCAGGGUUAAUCUUUACUACGUAGUAACUCUAGUAACAUCGACUCCCCCUACGCCAUCAGCCUCCUCCGCCAGACUACUCCUCAUUCUUUACUGGCAAUUGCUGUCUGGUUUGUGUCUCCUCAGAGGUUUUAAUAAUCCCGUCCAUCUCAUACGAGUGCGCAUUUUAGCUAUGCUUGAGCCAAAAAGUUUGGAUACGGUGGGCUAUAAAGUCUUUCAUAUAUCCAAUGGCAUUCACCGAAAAAAACGUGUAGUAUUGAGAACGUAAAUUACCGAACGAUUGGUAUUUAAAACCAAGUCUAGUGUGCGACCGCGAACGCACGUCCCGAUCCUGAAUAUUCUAAUAUAUCAAGUAAAUGACAUUUUUAUACGGGACCGUUUGAAUAAUAGAAUCAUGCAUAUAAUAAAUAGUUCCUCGCCUUUUCUGUUGCACUCAAAAAACCAAGUCGUGUUUGAUGGCUUGUAUAUGAAUUAUAAUUCCACUAUCUUCACAAAUUGCGGGCUUCUCAUUGGACUAUAAGGUGAACAACGCGUGUUAAGGUUGAGAAUGAUGCUCGCCAAUUUUAAUAGGUAUUCGUUCUUAUAGCUUUCGUGAUACAAUUUGUGUAUCUGGUCAGUAAAGAAGAUCCAUUUUGCGACACUUUCACGGCUUCAAGCAAAAUUACUGUAUUUUCACAUCGCGUUUAUGGAUGAAGCCUCGCACAGUUACUAACUGUAGUGGAGCUUUCAGUUCGAUCUUUUUUUAAGCACUUAACGUCCAAAGCGACGUAUCGAUUAUAAAAAGACUGCAGCAUUUAAUAAAUCGUUUUAUAUGGUGAACACAGUGAAAGUAUAAUGAAUCAUUUAAAUACUCGCGCCUCUUGGUGCAUAGCAGAGACAAGUUAAAGUUAUACCAUCAUAGUUAUAUUGUUUAAGCCGCGGGCAUAUGGCCCUUUCAAUGAGAUAUCUUGCUCUCUGCAAAUAACGUUGUGUCGAUAUCAGCUGUGUAUUAACCAAGUGUUCACCAUAAAGUAAAUGUCUUCAGAGCUGCAGUCUAAAACUCUAAAUGCGAUGAAAAGGAGGAAAGAGUUGUAUUGCAUUUGCUCGUGCCCCAGGUACAUGGAGUUUUAAAUGCAAAAUGUUUCUAUUAUCGUGCCCUAGUGACACUCGUGUGUCGUGUCGUGCUGGCUCGAAGUUAUGCUGGAGUUAAGAUCCAAUUUGUCCGAGACCGUUUAUUUUAGUGGUCGCUUGGUUUCCUUGGGCGAUUUUAUUCGUACGUUAGCUUUUCAUUGUCUCGUAUGUUGACCAACAUACUAUGGCCGACAUCCGCGUUUCUGGAUCGUGAUUGUAGCCUGUGUUACUGGGUUACCAAGAGUCCAAUGGCAUCUCAGCUUUACCGAUGCCACCAAAAAUGAGGUCUUUUCCUGAAUUCUUAACAAAAAACUGCAAUUAAUUUGUUAAAACUUAAAUUAUUUUUUGUUCUUUUUUGCCUAGAAAUAACUGAUUAAUCCUUCGCGUUUGUCGAGCAGGCUAAGGACCGUCGCGUUUAAGGUUUUGAUUGCUGUCGUUAGGCACGACUAAUUCUCUGUUUUACGUACACCUUAUGGUUAUUGUUGUACGUACACUUUAUGCUCAUUCGACCGAACUGUUUUUAAUUCGAACUUGGAUAAAAGUUCCUUAAUGUUCAUGGGCUGAACGUGCUCGUCUGUAUAUGUACUUUUGCAUCAAUAUUUUUAUUGGAGAGAAAUUGAAAAAAUUCUAGUUGGCAACGUGAGACCAAAUUUAUGUUUGUUGGAAACUUACCAAAUCUAUCGUAGAUUUACAUCUAGGAAGAUAAGAUGAACUUUCAUGUUCAGAAAAUGAGAAUUAAAUUUAUUUUGAGAACUUCAGAAGCAGAUUUAUUUUCAACGCUUUAUUGGAAAGAAACGAACUGAAAUUAUAUUCAGAUGGAGAUAUAAAUGUUCUUAGAUAUUAUUUGAUUAUAGUUUGAGUAUCAAUGACCUGGUCUUACACGAGCCACGUUUUCGGUUCUCUAAAAUUAUUUAGUUUUAACGUUGGCUUCAAUUAUUCUCAGUAAAGUUAUUCCUCCGUUUUUCGCUUUGUUCUUGUGGGUGGAUAACGUUGAUUAGAUUAAGUAUUUCUCUUGUAAUGAUAAUGGGUGUGUCUUGCCUAUAAGACGCGUGCUGACAAACUAAGGGCGUUUUUCCAUAAGCUUUCUACCAAAAUUCUGUUUACAUUGAAUUUAUUGUGCGCUUGUGUCUGGAACCUAUUUAUCGAGUUUUCAUUCAAAUGAUCGAGCGUUAAUACGCAAAUUUUAACAUAUGGUAACCAGUUAAUGGCAAAAAUGACACCCUGGAAACUAGACUUGUUUUGAGUGAAGAAUGAAAACGAACGUAAAAAUAAGAGUAACUAGUCUCCGUGCAGUUCUGCUGUCGGUUGCAAAAAAAUGAAGCAAUGAAGAGUAGAAAACUUUAGGAAGAAAGUUUUUAGAUUGCCAGUGCGCCCUUGAUACGCACCAAGGCUGAGGUUGUUCGCUGACCAACCUGCUGAAUGUUGUGCGCUAGCGUCCUGUGCUGUCAGGCCACGCAUCCUGCACACUCUUAUUUGUUACCUUCAUAUUUCAUACCAGAUAGAGUUAAUUGACAGUGAAUAUCCGUGAAGAAAAGAAUAUCUAAAUUUUGUGGUGCAGAUAUUACGGAUAAAAAUUGGUCGUAUUACUUAUAUGCUUAUAUUGGUAUUAUUUACUAGCUUCAAUUGAGAAAGAUAGGCAACGAGCAUCAGUUUUACCUACUUCUAUUUUAGUGUUGACACAUAAACUACUCCAUCAUAUUGCCGAGCCUCCUGAUUUUUAUGAUGAUUUCCGUUGAUAUUACCCAUAUGAUUUUGGUUAAUUCUGCUCGUAUGGUGAUUUUGUUUCGUAAAAUAGUGAGCUUAUGCUUCUUUGUCUAAAUGCGCUCGAAUCGUGCAAGAGGUCAGAAAAUGAUCUAUAUAUAGUACGGAAGGAGACAUUUAACCACUAUGACCGAGUUGUGAACUUGAGAAAAUCAAUUGGUUCUCUGCAAUUCUCUAUUUGAUACGAACCGAUCCUUCAGAAAGCAUAUCUUUAUACUUGUACCAAUUCCUAAACAUGGCUUAGACAGUGCAAGUCGCUAGCGGUCCGUUCUAAGCAUUCAUGAGCUGUAAAUUUACUCUCGUCGUCGUUUAUUAACCGUGUACGCUAGUAUACUUAUAAUCUUGACUAAUAAUCUCGUGUUGUAGCUAUUGCCUCCUUAGAUCAUGUGGCAUAGCCGUCCAGGUUUAUAUCUCGCAUUUCAAUAGGUUGAAAGCGAUCACGCUCCUUAAAUUUAACUCAAAAUUUGCGGCACGUUAAUUGCACGGAUAACUUUAUUCAUUUCCUUGAGAUUUGUAUUCAUCUUUAUUGCUUGAAGUCUAUUGUCGAACUUUCUGGGUAAUUUCUUGAUGAAUGAUGUAUGCAUACCGAUUGCAUGGUCAUCGGUAAAUUCUUAUUAUUUACUCGUAUCUAUUAUUUAGUGGAAAAUCGUUAUUUAGCAACCUUUGUCCGAUUCGAAAUCGAUGUACGACUUUUUGACUGCUCUGUACCUCGUGAGUUGUUUGCCGUUUCUAUGGUGGAUGUAGGGUUUAGAUUUUAGGUAGCUGUUUGCAUGCAUUACAAUGGAAUAACGUCACUGAUUCUCAUCAGAGAUAUCUUCUUGAGGCCGAGCGUGGCGCUCUGGCUCUCUUGCUUCAUUUCAUGUCUGACGAGGCGGUGGACUUUUUUUGUCAGUCUUUGGACUGUCUUUUGAAGCUCACUCCUAAGCUCUUUGAUGUUAACGGCAAUGUUUCAUACGUCUUGAUUGCUAAUGUUUUAUUUGUAAGUAAAUCAUUAAUAUUUGAAAGUGUUUGGCAGAAAUGUCUAUAGUUCCUAUGUCGAUGCUCGUAGUCAGUUUAUCGAAGCAGCUCUUGUCUAAAAUUUAUUGCGUAUGUUAUAGGGCUUCAUUAAUUCAUUGUGUGAUUAUAAGACGACGAAUAAGAAAACAUUUGCGUUAGCAUGAAGCUGUGCAUGAGGUCGCGCUAUCGACUGCGCGUGAAGUGAACCUUAGCUGCGCGUCUCUGAAUUACAUUAACAGCUUGUAUCCUAUCAAAAGGUUGGAAUUUCAAUUACUGAUUAACUUUAUAAUCAAUCGUUCAUUCUAAUUGCACUUCACUUUCACUUUUUUUGUACAAAUCCUACAAAUUUCGCGCGUAAAAUGUGUGUCUAAGACCAUCAUUAUUUCACUUCUGACACUGCUUUCUCAAACAAUUUGGUGUUUGCUUACUUCUUUGUAACGACUGAUGAAAAACAAAAACAGUGAUUACUUAAGUCCCCGUUAAUUCGUUUGCGUAGCCCCCUUCUGACGAAGGGUAUUGGAUCGUGUAUGUAGUAGCUUGUAUUCGCAGACCUGUUCCCAGAGUUCGUCUCACGCUGAUCGUUAUGCACGACCUCUCGUCAGUUGUCUGCAUGAGUUUAACUCUUCGUGUUUAAGUUAAUCGCUGUACUGCAACUUUGAACAGAUACAGCGGUAUGAAACAAUUGUAAACCAAACUUGUGCACUAAUCUCAAAAUAAUGGCAGGUGUGAGCAGUUAUUUGUUUGUACUAUUUACAUGCUAUGAGCUUAUUUAGGUUUACUUUCAAUUUCGAAAACAAAUGAUGGUAUCCGAGUAACUUGACUGAUGUAGCAACGACUAAAACUGGCUCCAGUUAGCCAUUCGAUCGUAAGUGUAAAACAUUCUCGAAUGUAUUACAUUGAAUUGAAUAAAGUAUUUUGUGAAUUUUACUGCAAAUUAAGCAUGUGUUGAGAGUAGGUAUGCACUUCAUCAUGAGUUAAUUGUGAAGUAGAUGUGCGUGUAGUCUGCAGUAACUUUUAUUGCCUCCAGCGUUGUCUUGGCAGCUACCGCGCUACAUAAUUCUCUUCAGACCGCCCGGUCGGCAGCAGUAAUUCUUACCUUUGUUUUCAACUUAAUUUUAUGAUUCUUAUAAGUCACAACCGAAAUAAGAGAAGUUGAAAAAUUGUAUCCUAUUUUUUCAAAAUGGCUAUUAUUGUAGCAUCAGCUUUGAUUUAUAGAUUCAAAAAUUUUCGGCCGGUCUCAUUACGAAAUUUGUUUUUGUCAACGGGGUAGAUAUCUUAUCAUUUUUAUCAUGAACAGAGAGAGUAGUAUUUAUUGUUCUUGCUACGGCAAUAUUUCAUGCGUUGUGUUAGUAUUGUUCGAAAUUUACUUAAUGAUUGCGUGAAUGGUAAUUUGCUAAGUGACGACCUUAGUUUUGUUCCUGUGUAAUGUUGACAAGAUUAGUGCAGGUAUAUUUAGGUAGGCCGACCGGGUGCGUUGGUGAACUUGUUACUGUAAGUCCUGAGAGCGCGACGCUUGGUUCUUCCCUCACCGCUCACCUGACAACAUUACCAUCCUCACUGAGUGCUCAGCCCGCCUUUAAUGAUCAUAUACUAGACAUGCUCUCACUGCCACGUGCAGCUUUGCUAUGAACCGCCCCGCGGUUCUAUGAACUAAAUAUGAACUUUGCUAUGAACUAAAUAUGAACUUUGCUAUGAACUAAAUAGAGUCGCCUUCAGAAAUUAUUAGUUCCUCUCAGAUUUCUUCUAAUUAGCAGCAAAGAAUGCUAGAAACUUUGUAUUCUCAUAUAUACUUUCAUCAUUUUUUAUAUUAACACGGUUGAUGUUAUCAAUUAUUAUACUAACAUUCUUUGUUGUGUACUCGCGUUCGAGCUUCUUUAAUUUCAAUUCUGAAUUACAUUGGUCCAAGUGUGGUGAAACUCGCUUGUGUUUCAGAGUUAGAUCAUAGAAUAACUUGAGCCAUGCUUCUUACUUGACUACUUUAAAGCUAUUUAAUUCAUCAUCAAUAUAAACAUCCAUAAUACAAAUUAUGCAACGUGCUAAAAGCUGUUUUACAAAUUGAUAGUUCCGUUAAGAAUUUGACAUAGGCAAUACACUCCAUGAGUACGAACACCUUGCGGGGGUGACUGCAACAUUUGGGCGGGCUAGAGCACAAACUCCUGUGAUAUGUCGCGAUGCGGUGAGGAGAAGACCAUUACAGUGCUGAAGGACAUUGCCAAUCCUCCUACUCCUGAUAACACACAUCGCUUUCUUUGAACGGUACCUGAGUCUCCUAGAAGUACUGAUGACUUUGGCCUUUAAAAUGGUUAUGGUCUGCCUUCUCGAGACUCCCAUUAAGUCUUAGUGUCUUCGAAAAAAAACUAAAUAAAGACACAUGGAAGUAUAUUUUUUUAUACCGUCUGUUACUUAAUUUUUUUUUUUGUUCUCAUACCACUGACUAUCUCUCAAAGUACAGUUUAAUAAAGUAUUUGAAAUACCA